rnacentral:lncRNA from 1 species
UUAGGAUUGAGUGGUUGGAUCUCCUUGCAGUCCAAGGGACUCUCAAGAGUUUUCUCCAACACCACAGUUCAAAAACAUGAAUUCUUCAGCACUCAGCUUUCUUUGUGGUCCAACUCUCACAUCCAUACCUGACUACUGGAAAAACCAAAGCUUUGACUAAACAGACCUUUGUUGGCAAAGUAAGCGGUCUGCUUUUUAAUACAAAUAAACAACUGAACAACACAAAAGGGUUCUGAGUAGAAAUGAAGGAGCUGUCUUUGUCCCACCACUGGCAGUUACUGGAUGCUGGUCAGCAAGUCUAAAGGCAAAGCCAUAGAUCACACAAAGCCAACUAUGGAACCUUGGGCCCUGUUAAUAACUUACACAGAAUCUUCAGUGUAUGUAUGGCCAAAUGGUAUUUGUAUUCUUGAAUGCCACACUGCUGGGUACAUUCUCAAUAUCUGACAGCACAGAGUCUAAAACAAACAAUCUAAAGGAGAAUUUCAUUGUGUAGGUAAUUUCAGAGCAUCCUUGAGGUCAAGAAAUAAAAUGUUGGCCAGAUAGCUCAGAGGUCAAGAUCUGGGCAUGUGUUUUUCACUGCCUCCAGCUACAACUACUCCUGGUGUUCAGAAAGGCUUAACAAGAAUCAGGACAAUUUCUGAGUGUUUAUCAGCAGCUGCCAGAAUUUGUGUCUCCAGGUGUCCAGAAAACUCUGGAAGAAGACUGGCCCCUGGAAGAAAUGAUCAGUAGCCCAAGGACUUCUGGUCACAGCGCUGUGCAGAGAUCUUCCAGUGUUCUUCAGAAGGCCAUCCUGUCUCCAUGAGUCAUAACCAGGGCUGUUGUUCCCAGUACAUCAGUGAGCAUCAGGAAAAUAUUAAAUGCUCCUUAACUGGUUAGUGAAUAGGCACUGAUCUGAGCUCUCUGAGUGCCCUUCCACCUCUCCAGACACCCUGGCUGCAGGAAUCCCUGGUGAGCACUAAAGCAGAACAGCCUUUGAACCAGCUAAGUCUUCCGCUGCCUGAGGUCGUCCUGCAUUUCCCCCCACCCUAUCCGCCUCCCACCAUUGCUGCCAGAGCUAUCAGACCCCAACCCUCCUGAAAGAGGGACUGUCAUCUUGCAGGGAAACAAGCCCAGUACCCACCUGACCACCCCAAGGCUGCAGUGUCCUGCUUGCCUUGCCUUUUGCAUGGCCUCUUUGGGCCCAUAGUGUUGAAGUAUUUUGACUAUCCUCCUAGUCACAGUCACACUCUCCUGCCCCUACAUCUCUGCC